CAAAUUAAAGCUUAUAUAUAAGUAUUUCAUUUACAUUGAAAAGAUAUUAUUAAAUUAAUUAAUUUGU
rnacentral:tRNA from 7 species